rnacentral:tRNA from 2 species
GCGGCUGUGGUGAAAUGGCAGACACGCAUGCCUUAGGAGCAUGUGCCGAAAGGCGUGGGGGUUCGACUCCCUUCAGCCGCACCA